CAAAAUGUAGCCUAAUCAAAGCCCCUUGCUUACACCAAGACGAUAUCUGUUAAACCAGAUCAUUUUGAGC
rnacentral:tRNA from 1 species